CCAGUCAACAAAACUACUCAACCUGUUGAGAACCUGCUUGGACUAAUUGGGUGAACAAGGAAUACUGAGGACAAGUGAUCAGGAGAUGUUUCAUGAACCAAAAAGGCCCGUGUGAGAGAAUUUGUUUGCAAUAGAAGCUGAUGGGAAAGAAGAUAGUUCAGCAAACAAGCAGAAUGGACUGAGCUCUCACCUAGUUGCUUGUAGAUUUCUCUUCUUUGAGUACAGAGGUGCUGGUUUCAGAUCCUCUAGAGAGCUAUUUGCAUGAUCAAGCCUGUUGUUUAGUCUGGGUAUGAUUCAUGAACAAUUGAAAUUAUUAUAAUUACUAUGUUUUU